rnacentral:rRNA from 1 species
GCGGAGGAAAAGAAACCAACAGGGAUUGCCUUAGUAGCGGCGAGUGAAGCGGCAAAAGCUCAAAUUUGAAAUCUGGCACUUUCAGUGUCCGAGUUGUAAUUUGAAGAAGGUAUCUUUGGGUCUGGCUCUUGUCUAUGUUUCUUGGAACAGAACGUCACAGAGGGUGAGAAUCCCGUGCGAUGAGAUGACCCAGACCUAUGUAAAGUUCCUUCGAAGAGUCGAGUUGUUUGGGAAUGCAGCUCUAAGUGGGUGGUAAAUUCCAUCUAAAGCUAAAUAUUGGCGAGAGACCGAUAGCGAACAAGUACAGUGAUGGAAAGAUGAAAAGAACUUUGAAAAGAGAGUGAAAAAGUACGUGAAAUUGUUGAAAGGGAAGGGCUUGAGAUCAGACUUGGUAUUUUGUAUGUUACUCUCUCGGGGGUGGCCUCUACAGUUUACCGGGCCAGCAUCAGUUUGGGCGGUAGGACAAUUGCAAAGAAAUGUGGCACUGCCUCGGUAGUGUGUUAUAGUCUUUGUCGAUACUGCCAGCCUAGACUGAGGACUGCGGCUUCGGCCUAGGAUGUUGGCAUAAUGAUCUUAAGUCGCCCG